UACAGAUAAAAAUUACAAUAAGCUUUAUUAGUAUCUUAAAAGUGUGAGUAAGAGAAUAAUAACAAUGUUAAUUACUUGACUAUUUACUAAAAGUGGCAAGAAACAUAUAUUAUGUUUAUUUAACGAAACAUUAUGAAGAAUUUAUGUUUACUAAUAUUUUAAUUAUUAAUAACUGUGAGAUGUUUGCUUCUUAUCAGCAGUCACCAGUGACUGUAAAUAUAAAAGUUAUUACUAGAAUGUUUGGUUUGCCGAAUUAACAAGUUUAUAAAUUCAGUUGUGAAGCUUGACUUAGUAGUAGAUCGCAAAAGUAAACUAAAGCAAAAGUUUGAAAUCAAAAUGAAGAUAUUCAAAAUACUGUGAUGUAUUUUUUUGGGGCUCAUUUUUCAAAUAAUAAUGGUUCAGAGUGCUGAAAUUUGCACGAAAAUUAAUGGAUACUGCGAAAGCCAUGAUAAUUGCUGUCCUCACUAUGCUUGUCGUUAUAACGCCAUGGGUAUGAUGACUAAAACGUGUCACAAGUGAUUAUUUUUGAAUUCAGAAAAGAAAUAUUUAUUAUUUACAUUCAACGUACUAUUAAUUUAAUAAAAAUUUGUAUUAACCUUA